AGCAGCCGCGGUAAUUCCAGCUCCAAUAGCGUAUAUUAAAGUUGUUGCAGUUAAAAAGCUCGUAGUUGAAUUUCGGGAUCAGUACGCCGGUCGUGCCUCUGGUAUGUACUGGUGUUACUGGUUCCUACCUUCUGACGAACUGUCAUGUCAUUAAUUUGGUGUGGCGGGGAAUCAGGACUGUUACUUUGAAAAAUUAGAGUGUUUAAAGCAGGCUCGCGCUUGAAUACAUUAGCAUGGAAUAAUGAAAUAGGACGUUCGAUCCUAUUUUGUUGGUUUCUAGGAUUGACGUAAUGAUUAAUAGGGAUAGUUGGGGGCAUUAGUAUUCAAUUGUCAGAGGUGAAAUUCUUGGAUUUAUUGAAGACUAACUACUGCGAAAGCAUUUGCCAAGGAUGUUUUCAUUAAUCAAGAACGAAAGUUAGGGGAUCGAAGACGAUCAGAUACCGUCGUAGU
rnacentral:rRNA from 1 species